UUUGACCUCAAAUCAGGUAGGACUAC
rnacentral:rRNA from 3 species